CCGGACUUUUAAUCCGGGAGUCGUGGGUUCGAAUCCCACCCAGCCCU
rnacentral:tRNA from 1 species